AUAGCGUAUAUUAAAGUUGUUGCAGUUAAAAAGCUCGUAGUUGGAUUUCUGGCAGGAUGCCAAUGUCCGCUUGUUGCGUGUGCAGCGGCGUCCUGCCAUCCUUCUGUUAACCCUUCUUGGUAUUAACUUACUGGUUGGGGGCUCAGAUAUUUUACCUUGAGAAAAUUAGAGUGUUUAAGGCAGGCUUGCGCCCGAAUACAUUAGCAUGGAAUAAUAGAAUGGGACUUUGGUCUCCUUUGUUGGUUUGAGGGACUAGAGUAAUGAUUAAUAGGGACAGUUGGGGGCAUUAGUAUUUAAUUGUCAGAGGUGAAAUUCUCGGAUUUGUUAAAGACUAACUUAUG
rnacentral:rRNA from 1 species